UGUACACACCGCCCGUCACACCAUGGGAGCGGGUUCUGCCAGAAGUAGUUAGCCUAACCGUAAGGAGGGCGAUUACCACGGCAGGGUUCGUGACUGGGGUGAAGUCGUAACAAGGUAGCCGUAUCGGAAGGUGCGGCUGGAUCACCUCCUUUCUGGAAAUAUGCAGUCAAAUUCUUACGCCCAUUCUUAUCGGCUGUUGUGUUAAACAACAGCAAUGUCACCGAGUUAAUUCAAGUUAAUUAGCAUUAAUUGGUGCCGCCUUCGAGUUUAUUAAUGAGAGUUAAUUAAUAAGAGGGUCUGUAGCUCAGCUGGUUAGAGCAUCGUCUUGAUAAGGCGGGGGUCGUUGGUUCGAGUCCAACCAGACCCACCAAUUGGGCUUAGGUGGAGAGCGAGAAGCGAAAAAGAAAUCCCGGGGGAUUAGCUCAGCUGGGAGAGCACCUGCUUUGCAAGCAGGGGGUCGACGGUUCGAUCCCGUCAUCCUCCACCAAAAUAUUCAGCAGAUUGAUAGAUUCAGUCUGUUGAAAAAAACUUAUCAGAAGCAAAUUAAAUUAAUGCAAAGCAUGUUCGCGACAAGUCGCGAGGAUGCUUUGUAUUGAUUGAUUCAUUUCAAUUAUUGGCUGUUCUUUAAAAAUUUAUAGAGUUAAAUUAGCGUCGUUAGCGGAAACUGCACAUUCGUAAAGGUUUAGUGCAGACCGUGCCGCUAGCGACAUAGUAGUAAAUAAUUUUUUGAUUGCGUCAAAAGAAACUUUUAAUUUCGAUAGUAAUUUAUUGAAUAAUUGGAAGAUACGGCAUAACGCGUGUGGUGUAAGACCACACAAUCAUUCCUUGAAGAUAACUGAAGAGAAAUCAAAGUUAUAGGGUCAAGCGAAUAAGAGCAUAUGGUGGAUGCCUAGGCAAUGAUAGGCGACGAAAGACGUGAUAGCCUGCGAUAAGCUUCGGGGAGCUGGCAAAUUAGCUUUGAUCCGGAGAUUUCUGAAUGGGGAAACCCACCCUUCGGGGUAACGCUGACUGAAUACAUAGGUCUGCGUGGCGAACCGGGUGAACUGAAACAUCUCAGUAGCUCGAGGAAAAGACAUCAACCGAGAUUCCGAGAGUAGUGGCGAGCGAAA
rnacentral:misc_RNA from 1 species